UUUCCGUAGGUGAACCUGCGGAGGGAUCAUUACUGAGUGAGGGUCUCCGGGCCCGACCUCCAACCCUUUGUGAAUCGUACCCGUUGCUUCGGGGGCGACCCUGCCGUCCGCGGCUGAGCGCCCCCGGGGUCAAUCAAACACUGCAUUCUCUGCGUCGGAGUAUUAGUAAAUCUAAUCAAAACUUUCAACAACGGAUCUCUUGGUUCUGGCAUCGAUGAAGAACGCCAGC
rnacentral:misc_RNA from 1 species